CCUACGGGUGGCUGCAGUUCGGAAUAUUCGGCAAUGGACGAAAGUCUGACCGAGCGACGCCGCGUGCGGGAUGAAGGCCCUAUGGGUUGUAAACCGCUUUCGCGAUUAAGUAAAUCAUGUUGGAUUAACACUCCGAUAUGUUGAAUAAGGAUCGUAAAGAAGCCCCCGCUAAUCACGUGCCAGCAGCGGCGGUAAUACGUGAGGGGCGAACGUUGUUCGGUGUCACUGGGCUUAAAGGGUGCGUAGGUGGUUCUGUAAGUAAGGAGUGAAAUCCCUCGGCUUACCCGGGGAAUUGCUUUUUAUACUGCAGGACUUGAGGGCCAAAGGGGAAAAGGGAACUCCAGGUGUAGCGGUGAAAUGCGCAGAUAUCUGGGGGAAGGCCGGCGGCGAAGGCGCUUUUCUGGUUGGUACCUGACACUGAGGCACGAAAGCGUGGGGAGCAAACAGGAUUAGAUACCCUUGUAGUC
rnacentral:rRNA from 1 species